ACUGGCCUGAAUCAAGGCCAGCCGUUUUCUGAAGCUGUUUUUUCAAGUAGGAGUGUAAAAUGAUAUCUUUCUAUGAUCUGUUGGCCAUUUCAGACCUUUAAAAAUAUAAUGGUCAAUUCACUAUGAAUACCAAAAA
ensembl:snoRNA